rnacentral:rRNA from 1 species
UACGGGGGGGGCAAGCGUUGUUCGGAAUUACUGGGCGUAAAGGGCUCGUAGGCGGCCAACUAAGUCGGAUGUGAAAUCCCCAGGCUUAACCUGGGAACUGCAUCCGAUACUGGUUGGCUUGAAUCCGGGAGAGGGAUGCGGAAUUCCAGGUGUAGCGGUGAAAUGCGUAGAUAUCUGGAGGAACACCGGUGGUGAAGGCGGCAUCCUGGACCGGCAUUGACGCUGAGGCGCGAAAGCGUGGGGAGCAAACAGG